rnacentral:rRNA from 1 species
GACGAACGCUGGCGGCGUGCCUAAUACAUGCAAGUCGAACGAGAGCAACCGGUGCUUGCACUGGUCAAUCUAGUGGCGAACGGGUGAGUAACACGUGGGUAACCUGCUCAUCAGAGGGGGAUAACAUCCGGAAACGGCUGCUAAAACCGCAUAGGUCUUCGAACCGCAGGGUUUGAAGAGGAAAAGAGGCUCACGCUUCUGCUGAUGGAUGGACCCGCGGUGCAUUAGCUAGUUGGUGAGGUAACGGCUCACCAAGGCCGCGAUGCAUAGCCGACCUGAGAGGGUGAUCGGCCACACUGGAACUGAGACACGGCCCAGACUCCUACGGGAGGCAGCAGUAGGGAAUCUUCCGCAAUGGACGCAAGUCUGACGGAGCAACGCCGCGUGAGUGAAGAAGGUUUUCGGAUCGUAAAACUCUGUUGUUAGAGAAGAACAAGUGCUAGAGUAACUGUUAGCGCCUUGACGGUACCUAACCAGAAAGCCACGGCUAACUACGUG